rnacentral:rRNA from 1 species
UAUGAGAGUUUGAUCCUGGCUCAGGACGAACGCUGGCGGCGUGCCUAAUACAUGCAAGUCGAACGCUUCUUUUUCCACCGGAGCUUGCUCCACCGGAAAAAGAGGAGUGGCGAACGGGUGAGUAACACGUGGGUAACCUGCCCAUCAGAAGGGGAUAACACUUGGAAACAGGUGCUAAUACCGUAUAACAAUCAAAACCGCAUGGUUUUGAUUUGAAAGGCGCUUUCGGGUGUCGCUGAUGGAUGGACCCGCGGUGCAUUAGCUAGUUGGUGAGGUAACGGCUCACCAAGGCCACGAUGCAUAGCCGACCUGAGAGGGUGAUCGGCCACAUUGGGACUGAGACACGGCCCAAACUCCUACGGGAGGCAGCAGUAGGGAAUCUUCGGCAAUGGACGAAAGUCUGACCGAGCAACGCCGCGUGAGUGAAGAAGGUUUUCGGAUCGUAAAACUCUGUUGUUAGAGAAGAACAAGGAUGAGAGUAACUGUUCAUCCCUUGACGGUAUCUAACCAGAAAGCCACGGCUAACUACGUGCCAGCAGCCGCGGUAAUACGUAGGUGGCAAGCGUUGUCCGGAUUUAUUGGGCGUAAAGCGAGCGCAGGCGGUUAUUGAAGGGCAUCUUAGUCUGCUAAAUCGUUGGGGGAAAGAUGAUCCUGAACUGGGAGACUUGAGUGCAGAAGAGGAGAGUGGAAUUCCAUGUGUAGCGGUGAAAUGCGUAGAUAUAUGGAGGAACACCAGUGGCGAAGGCGGCUCUCUGGUCUGUAACUGACGCUGAGGCUCGAAAGCGUGGGGAGCAAACAGGAUUAGAUACCCUGGUAGUCCACGCCGUAAACGAUGAGUGCUAAGUGUUGGAGGGUUUCCGCCCUUCAGUGCUGCAGCUAACGCAUUAAGCACUCCGCCUGGGGAGUACGACCGCAAGGUUGAAACUCAAAGGAAUUGACGGGGGCCCGCACAAGCGGUGGAGCAUGUGGUUUAAUUCGAAGCAACGCGAAGAACCUUACCAGGUCUUGACAUCCUUUGACCACUCUAGAGAUAGAGCUUCCCCUUCGGGGGCAAAGUGACAGGUGGUGCAUGGUUGUCGUCAGCUCGUGUCGUGAGAUGUUGGGUUAAGUCCCGCAACGAGCGCAACCCUUAUUGUUAGUUGCCAUCAUUCAGUUGGGCACUCUAGCAAGACUGCCGGUGACAAACCGGAGGAAGGUGGGGAUGACGUCAAAUCAUCAUGCCCCUUAUGACCUGGGCUACACACGUGCUACAAUGGGAAGUACAACGAGUUGCGAAGUCGCGAGGCUAAGCUAAUCUCUUAAAGCUUCUCUCAGUUCGGAUUGCAGGCUGCAACUCGCCUGCAUGAAGCCGGAAUCGCUAGUAAUCGCGGAUCAGCACGCCGCGGUGAAUACGUUCCCGGGCCUUGUACACACCGCCCGUCACACCACGAGAGUUUGUAACACCCGAAGUCGGUGAGGUAACCUUUUGGAGCCAGCCGCCUAAGGUGGGAUAGAUGAUUGGGGUGAAGUCGUAACAAGGUAGCCGUAUCGGAAGGUGCGGCUGGAUCACCUCCUUU